rnacentral:rRNA from 1 species
UACGGGGGGGGUAAGCGUUGUCCGGAUUUAUUGGGCGUAAAGAGCGUGUAGGCGGCCUGACAGGUCUGCUGUGAAAACUCGAGGCUCAACCUCGAGAUGUCGGCGGAAACCGUCUGGCUAGAGUCCGGAAGAGGAGAGUGGGAAUUCCCUGGUGGAGCGGUGAAAAUGCGCAGAGAUCAGGAGGAACACCCGUAGCGAAGGCGGCACUCUGGGCCGAUACUGACACUGAGGAGCGAAAGCGUGGGGAGCGAACAGG